CAGUGACUGACGGACUCUGACAUCCCUUUUUCCUCCGGUCACUCCCUUCACACUAAUGGCUAAUAAUAAAAUGUGCAUGUUCAAAUAAAGUGCUCAAAUUCCAAAAAAAUAAAAUUCUGAGGGCUGACUUUCAUAACCUACAGUAGACUGUUGUAGGUCUUGGUUUGUUGAGCUUGUGGAGAGCAUCUACGCAGCCAUUGUGAUUUUGGAUCCUCAGGCUCUCAACGACCAUCCAUUGGUUGCAUACACAGUGGGAGGGAAGUUGCUGGUGACUCAAAGUGUGCCUGCUCCAUUGAAGUGACACAGAAUGGCUGGAAUACUGCUGCUGGUGAAAAUCUCCAAGAAUGUCCCGUAAAGUGGCACUUCCUGAAAAAACCAUAAUGAUGACUCACUGGAGGAUGAAAGACUGGCUCUGGUUGAGGAGUUCAAGAAGAAGAAUACGAAUGUUGCACUCAGACAAAAGAUGGAGCUGACUUUCUCUUUGAGGCGCAAUGACAUCGUAGAGCUGCAGCCUAUGGUGUCAGAGGUUCUGGAACGGUGGCCUGCUCUGUUUAGUGAGGCAGAGAUCCUGUCAUCAACAAGAAAUCACCUCAUUCUCUUCACCUGGUCCUCAUGCCCUUCCCACCUGCAACCCAUUCCCUCAUUAGCCCCUCACUAUAUAAGUCCCCACACUUCCACUUGUCCUCUGCCAGAUUGUCUUGUGUGUAUGCAAAGUUUUCCAGCGUUUUCCGAUUACCUAUAUCCCGUCCUGACCUGAU
ensembl:lncRNA